ACCAGUUCCAUUGGCAGCUGUGUGUGCUGUCUUGUCUGGACCUUGGUCUGUCUUUGUCUACAAUCCACUCGACUUAAUCAAAAGCCUUUUUCAUUAUUAAAUGACAUAUCAGGAAGACAACUUAAAGCCCACUCAGAGCGAAUAACAAAGCCCUGCUGGAGCCAGUGGUGCAGGAGAUGACAACAGGAACCCAAAGAAGCUUACAUCAUUCUCCUCUAUUUUAUCCUCACUACAGCCCUGUAAGCAGGGAAUACACCGAUGAGGAAGAAGCACCAUUUUUCCAUAUUGCAGACGUUAGAACAAAAUUUGGCAUCCAGUUAUUCUCAUCAUCAUACGGGGAGCUACAACUUGCAGACAUUGCUCAAUUUUGACACUGAGAGCAAGAAAUGCAAAGUGCUGUUUCAGAAUUGAAUCUUUGAGCCAACUAGACCCUACUGAGAAGUAUUGCAUAUCAGAGACUGUAUGUGAUCUUAAGUUCUAUAUGUAGAGGUGUUUGAUUUGUGGUAGCCUCUUGAAAUUUGCAAGUGAGGGCCAUGCAUGGCUGAACUAGCACAAAGUUAUGCAUAUAUCGUCUGUCAGGAACUAAGUUUUCUAGGUUUCACUGUCUCUUUAAUGCAAAAAGUCCUCCCCUAGUCUACAGGAGUAUUUUAUUUUAUCUUGUUUUAUUUUAAAAGCCCAACAAUCGAACAUGGAAAUAAUAAUAAAAAUAGAAUUUUUUAAGGUUGGGACCUGGUGUUUGCCUAUGCAAGGAGAGCUUCUAUUUCCAAAUCCAAGUGUUUACAAUUUGACAUGUAUAACAGUAUCAUUUUGAAGGACUGGAUGUCCCAGCUGUACAUUGAAAUGGAUUAUCUCUGCGGAACCAUUUGAUAAAACACCACAUUAUGUUUCUAACUAUCUCUUAUCUGGAUGAUUAUUUUUGUGUUUUUCCUCUUAAACAUGACUCAAAAUAGAAUACAAAUGAAGCCUUAUCACUUGAUUGGCUAGCCGAGCAAGGCCAAGCAUUCCUCAAGCCUUUUGCUACUGUAAACAAAAUGGUUUUCAUGACAGGAGUAAAUUCUCUGUGUUCAACUUGGGAAUUUGUACACUUUUCAUAGAACCACAUUUAUACCAGCCUGCCUGCUAAAUUAAGGAUUACACUCUGUAAAUAAGCAGUUUGGACUAUUCACAUCCAUAUUAUAGAUUUAAUUUUAAGACGGUUUAUUCACGUCUAUAUUAGAUUUAAAUUUAAGCUGGUUUCAUACUCCUGGAGGAAUUUUAGGGGCUGUAUGGCCGUGUAAUGAGAAGAGCUGCUUGCUGGAUUUAGAUCUGGGACAACUGCACCCAAAUACCUUCUCAGAGCCAAGCUACAAGUGACGCCUGACACAGGUUGGAC